AAGUAUCAAGAACAUUAUUCAGGCAACACUGCGGAGAUGAACUCUGCCCCAGGCUUAGUGACUGUGGUACUCUUAGUGCUUGGACGAACACAUGGAGACUCAGUGACCCAGGCGGAAGGCCAAGUGACCCUGUUUAAAGGGGAUUCCCUGACUGUGAACUGCUCCUAUGAAACCACAGGUUAUCCCACUCUCUUCUGGUAUGUUCAGUAUCCUGGAGAAGGCCCACAGCUCCUCCUGAGAGCCACGAGGGCCGAUGAGAAGGGAAGCAACAGCGGUUUUGAAGCCACAUAUCGCAAAGAACCAAACUCCUUCCACUUGGAGAAAGCCUCAGUCCAGGAGUCAGAUUCGGCAACGUACUUCUGUGCUCUGAGUGACACAGUGACAGAGAGUUGGGGCCGUCCCAGAUGGGGCCCCGGAGCGGGAGUGUCCACAGCUGACAGAGGGAGAAGGAGGGAGACCUGA